AUACGGAGGGUGCAAGCGUUACUCGGAAUCACUGGGCGUAAAGCGCGCGCAGGCGGCCUGAUAAGUUGGAUGUGAAAGCCUACGGCUCAACCGUAGAACUGCAUCCAAAACUGUCAGGCUAGAGUGUGGGAGAGGAAGAUGGAAUUAGUUGUGUAGGGGUAAAAGCCGUAGAGAUAACUAGGAAUACCAAAAGCGAAGGCAAUCUUCUGGAACACUACUGACGCUGAGGCGCGAAGGCGUGGGGAGCAAACAGGAUUAGAAACCCUAGUAGUCC
rnacentral:rRNA from 1 species